UUUUACUGAAGGAGGGGAAUCGAGGCUUCAUUUCUUCUAACACUUUCUCCUCUCACAACACUGUCUUAUCUCUACCUAGUGCCCCCUCUUUUUCAUUCUCCCCCUUCAUGUCUUCUCUUUCUUCCUCCCCUCUCUUAUUGCAUUUUACUCUGCUGCAUCUUUCUUCCAUUUCUCCCCUCUCUUGCAUCCGUCCUGUCCCAUUUCUUCCCUGAAGUAAGCAUCCUUCACUUUGGGUCAACUCUCCUCCUCCGCCUCUUCCUCUUUUUCCCCCUCACACUUUUCCUCUGUCAUGUAGGACACUGCAGUCUUUCUCUUUCGAACUUAUUUCUAGCGUUUAACUCUGUUUGUUUGAUCAUUUCACUCCACUUUUUAUCUCAAGAGACAACUUUUUGUUGAUGGAAAAGUUUGCUUUCUCUAUUCUCUUCAGAUCUUUCCAAAACAUUGAGGUUAUUUUUUUGUUUAUUUUUUUUAAUCACAUUUGAGUUUGGCCUUUUUGGUGUAAUGUUUUACAUUUGGGAGAUCCUGGAGACUUAUCCGCAUUCAGACGAUACAUGUGGGCGGAUUAGAGAAGAAGACAGAGGGGUGGGAGGACCCCGGUGAAUACAGAGGCUAAUUUCUCACAAGGCUGCUGAACUUCACAAACACAUAUGCUGCGGAGAAAAAUACACACAAACGCAUAUCUUUAUGAGGCUACAUUCCCCACACAUGCUCACUCUGCUGGACGGACGCACAAAACACCAUUUUGUCUACAGGUUCCCAGCCUUGGCUGACAUCAGCAGUCAUGUGGUACAACAGAGGAGCAGGUGGGUGAUAUGACACAGUGUGGAGUAAUAUGUCCAAUUAGAAUAAUACUGAUAACAAGAAGAAGAAGAGGAGCAGACACUGCUCUGAUGGAGUUAUCUUUGCUCUGAAGGCUGCAACGAGACAAGCUGCAGGAACAGCUUAUCAGAUCAUUCACUUUUAUAAAAUGUCUUGUUAUUUGGAUCUUUUUAUAUUUGCCAGAUAAUCUGUUUUCAGCAUAGCGUGCAUUUUGUUAAGAGGCAUAUUACAGUAGAAGCACAACCAUUAGCUAUGUUGCUGAUGCACUUGUCGGCAGGAAACUCUUUAAACAUCGCCUCAUAAAAAUUACAGCAGCAAUAAAAGGGCAAAAGGCCAUUGCUUAAGUUUCCUCUGACCACAAAAUGUUCUCCUAAGAGCAAAGUGCGGACAGAAAGAGGAUGAAUAAAGUAGGAAGACAGGUGGGCUUUUUAAAAGUGCAUUUCAUGUAAGUGUGGAAAAGAUUGAUACACUUUCAUUUAAAGCUGCAAAGGGCUGUUUGUUAAACAAACACAUUGCAUCUAUAAUUUUCCAAAGUUAGAGCAAAAACAAGCUGCUUUCAGAGCUACAUAGUCCUCAGAGCCAACGUGCAUGUGUUCAGACUGCAGGAAAACCUUCAGAACAUUUUUUUUAACAAGCUAAAGGUCAGACUUCUCUGUGCUGUGAGGACACAUUGCUUAACACUGAGCCUCUGUACUUUCAUCCACUCUUUUUGUCAGAGCAUACAAAGAUGAAAUGAAAUGAUCUGUUGAAUGUGGAAAGUGGGACAAAGUAAUGUCCUUAAUAUGAGAACAAAAUGAGGCACUGAAUUGCAUGGAAGACACCCCAAGAGGAGCAGCUAUUCUAGAUAACAGAUCUGAGGGUUUUAUGUGAGCAUUACAUUCACUCACUUUGUCAAUUUGAAUGUUUUCUAACUUUGUUCUUUACAUUAUCACUGCCCUGUGAGUCACUGUUUGGCCCCUUGGCAGCUACAUGUAGAUUGUAGAUGUCACUCUAAACAUGAGCUACAUUCACAUGAAAGUACUCCAGGUUUUGUAAAGCUGACUUGUCUUUGUAGGCUACCUAUUAUUAAUGUCCACUAUUGAGGACUCCAUAUGGCUUGCAACCAAUAACUACAAGUGUUCUUGUAUCUGGAAACAAUACAUAACUCUAUUCUGUACACACCUCGUUCAUUUACAAUCCCCUCAAACCCCCGCAGCCCUUUCAAGAUUCAUACAGGUGUUGUACUCAAGAAUUGUGAAAUAAGUCUAUCUGUUCCUGAUAAAUGUGAGGGAUUCUUUAACCAGCUUGGAUUACAUUUUCCGUACAGUUUGUCUUUGUAAUGAAACAACUUGGAGUCUGCAGCCUUGUAGAAGCUCUGAAAAUAUGCACUUUGGCACUACAAUGCUGCAGGCUAAUAUUUUCAUUCUAAGAACCACAUGCCAAAAAGGUCUCAGUUACAAUGCUGCAUUCAUAUUGACCAGGAUUACUAUUGGAAAUGUUAGCAUGCGUAAAUUCUAGGGUUUGCAAAUGGUUACAAAAACAGAGUGCAACUGAGGAUCAUGGUACACAAAUGAAAGUGUCAGAAAUGUUCAAAUGUUGACUUAAUUAUCAUGCUGGAAUGGAUGAACAGUCAGGAGAUCCUUCUCCUCAUUCAUUAUUUUACAUAUAAGGAUCUUAAUUAUUGCUAGAAAAUGUUUGUGGUAGUCUAUCCAAUACACAACGAAACAUUUCAUUACAAACAAAAAAAAAUGUCAACCAGCUGUUGGCGCUGGAGGAAAAGUCAAGAGAUCCCAAAACUCGGGAGGAAAUUUCUGCGGAGCAUAAUUUAUCUUUCCAAAAUUUCCUGGAAUUAUUAUUAUUAUUUUUUAGUAUAUUUCAUACAGCAGGAAUGUGCUGGAAAAACCUUAAAGUAAUAUUGUUAAAAGGCCUACAUCAUCAUCUAUAGAGUAUCCAGCUAUCAGUGCUAAAAAUGCAUUAGCGCUACAUUCAUUAAGAAUUUAAAGAUUGAGAACUCCAUGACAUAUUUCACUCCAAUCUCUGUUUGAGUUAUUUGUAAAGCUCUUUAGGAUUUAUUAGAAAUAUAGGUAAAUUGAGCACAUUUCAUUCUCUUGAAGGUUACAUUCUUUGCAACAAACUAACAGUAGAUUUGGCCUGAGCAUUCAGACGAGCAGGGAGUCGUCUACAGAAAAAAAGCUGACAGUGUUUCUUCGUCAACCCGCCAUAAAUACUGUAUGUCCAACUUAGUGUGUUCUAACAGCGAGCAUUAGCCGACUCAGACACAUCCACGAGCAGGCUCUUGGCGGCAGCAUGGUGCGGCUCAUGCAUAAGAAAGUAGAGACAGCGGCAGAAUGAGGAGACGCCGUGAGAUCACGAGAAGAUUGAAGCAGCAAAAAGCAGAACAGGGAUGAUAGAAACAGCCUACUGUAAGUAGAUUCUGUACAUAUGGUAUAUCCACGGCGAUGUGUAUGUUUGCACAUGUGGGGUGGUGUCAACACAAAGAAGCACUGGCCUUGAGGAUGCAAACAAUAUGGUAGACAAUGAGAAACUGGUGGGUCAAUAAUUUGUAUUGAUGUUGUCCAUCACUUACGGAAAUUCAAUUCAAUUCAAUUCAAUUCAAAAAACUUUGUUUGUCCCCGGGGGGCAAUUCAAAGGCACACAGAGCAGUAAAAU